GAUGAACGCUAGCUACAGGCUUAACACAUGCAAGUCGAGGGGUAACGAGAGGGAAGCUUGCUCUCCUUGUCGACGACCGGCGCACGGGUGAGUAACGCGUAUCCAACCUGCCCACAACUAGGGAAUAACCUCGCGAAAGUAAGACUAAUACCCUAUAAUUUCCUCAGAUGUCAUCUGACGAGGAAUAAAGAUUUAUCGGUUGUGGAUGGGGAUGCGUCUGAUUAGCUUGUUGGCGGGGUAACGGCCCACCAAGGCAACGAUCAGUAGGGGUUCUGAGAGGAAGGUCCCCCACAUUGGAACUGAGACACGGUCCAAACUCCUACGGGAGGCAGCAGUGAGGAAUAUUGGUCAAUGGGCGGAAGCCUGAACCAGCCAAGUAGCGUGCAGGAUGACGGCCCUAUGGGUUGUAAACUGCUUUUAUACAGGAAUAAAGUUAGCCACGUGUGGUUAUUUGUAGGUACUGUAUGAAUAAGGACCGGCUAAUUCCGUGCCAGCCGCCGCGGUAA
rnacentral:rRNA from 1 species